rnacentral:rRNA from 1 species
AUUGAACGCUGGCGGCAGGCCUAACACAUGCAAGUCGAACGGUAACAGGAAGCAGCUUGCUGCUUUGCUGACGAGUGGCGGGCGGGUGAGUAAUGUCUGGGAAACUGCCUGUUGGAGGGGGGUAACUACUGGAAACGGUAGCGAAUACCGCAUAACGGCGCAAGACCAAAGAGGGGGACCUUCGGGGCUCUUGCGAGCGGGUGUGCCCAGAUGGGAUUAGCUAGUGGGGGGGGGAACGGCUCACCUAGGCGACGAUCCCUAGCUGGUCUGAGAGGAUGACCAGCCACACUGGAACUGAGACACGGUCCAAACUCCUACGGGAGGCAGCAGUGGGGAAUAUUGGACAAUGGGCGCAAGCCUGAUGCAGCCAUGCCGCGUGUAUGAAGAAGGCCUUCGGGUUGUAAAGUACUUUCAGCGGGGAGGAAGGGCGUAAAGUUAAUACCUUUGCUCAUUGACGUUACCCGCAGAAGAAGCACCGGCUAACUCCGUG